AUAAUUCUCGCUAAAUUGACCAAGAGACAAAAUCCGGUCUGUAAAGUAGUAAAUAUCUGGUCUCUACUGUAAAAUUAGCGGAGAGACUAGAGAGUAAGGCGCUACCGAAGUGACAAUCAAAUUAAAAAAACAUUCAACCUCUCUUUAUUACCAAAUUAAACCUCUCGUUUGUCAAAAUUUGGUUCUUCAAAUCCCUAAACCAUUUUUGAUACACUCCAUCUAACAAUUCCUGCUACUAACCCAUGUAAGCCCUCUAGUUCCGGAGAUGAUCUCUGCGAAAACUUCCUAAAAACUCGAUCUCCAUUGGUUCCAUAGCCGAUGAUUUAGGCACGAAAACUACAAAAGAAAUAGUGGCGAGGGUUUGCCGAUUAUAAUUUUGUAUGCCAAUCUGGAAUACCAACGAGAGAAAAAAUGGGUAGAUCACAUGUGAGACUCUCAACUUUUUUGGGACCAAGAUCUCGUGGGCAAUUGCGAUAAUGAAGAUCUGGAUUUUUGGUUGUUCUAUGUCAUGGAUGAGCUUUGGGGAAGUAUAGUGAUUUUAGUAAGAGAUACUCUUUUUGGGAUUCAUUAAUUAGAAAUUUUUUACCACUGAUGGAGUAGGCAGCAAUGGAGCUGAAAGAUGGUAAUCCAUGGAGGAACUGCCCUUGUUAUUGGAGUACUACGGGUAUAGAGUAAGCAACAUUUCAAGUCCUAUCCAUUAUUCUUUUUCUCUAUCGUAUGAAAUUUUGGAGUUCAUUCAUUUCAUUUACAGUGUCCAUUAACUUCUGAUUCUUCUUCUUUACUGAUGCACUAGACAUGCCAUAGUUGAAGAAUUGUUAAAGAUUACUGAUCAUUCAAUUUUCCCUUGUUGAUUAAAAUUUUGAAGGUGCAUAUAAUUAUACUUGAUAGAAUCUGACAUGUUUUGGAGAUUUAGUUUACACAUCAAGAUGUAGGUUGAAGACUUCAUGCAAGUUGACGAGUUGAUUAUUAUUUUGCAAAGACUGCUGGCAAAAUUUUAUACUUUUUGCUAUGGAUCUUAGCUCUUUUACAAAGAGGUUGUGUAAACAAUAAACAAAGAUACUAACGAUAAUUUUGUUGAAUCCAAUUGAUUUAUAAUACUAUAAAUUGUAUCA